GCGUUGUUCGGAAUCACUGGGCGUAAAGCGCACGUAGGCGGAUGUGUCAGUCAGGGGUGAAAUCCCGGAGCUCAACUUCGGAACUGCCUUUGAUACAGCACGUCUUGAGUCCGAUAGAGGUGGGUGGAAUUCCUAGUGUAGAGGUGAAAUUCGUAGAUAUUAGGAAGAACACCGGUGGCGAAGGCGGCCCACUGGAUCGGUACUGACGCUGAGGUGCGAAAGCGUGGGGAGCAAACAGG
rnacentral:rRNA from 1 species